rnacentral:rRNA from 1 species
UGUAUUUAUUAGAUUAAAAACCAAUGCCCUUCGGGGCUCUCUGGUGAUUCAUAAUAACUUCUCGAAUCGCACGGCCUUGCGCCGGCGAUGGUUCAUUCAAAUUUCUGCCCUAUCAACUUUCGACGGCUGGGUCUUGGCCAGCCGUGGUGACAACGGGUAACGGAGGGUUAGGGCUCGACCCCGGAGAAGGAGCCUGAGAAACGGCUACUACAUCCAAGGAAGGCAGCAGGCGCGCAAAUUACCCAAUCCCGACACGGGGAGGUAGUGACAAUAAAUACUGAUACAGGGCUCUUUCGGGUCUUGUAAUUGGAAUGAGUACAAUUUAAAUCCCUUAACGAGGAACAAUUGGAGGGCAAGUCUGGUGCCAGCAGCCGCGGUAAUUCCAGCUCCAAUAGCGUAUAUUAAAGUUGUUGAGGUUAAAAAGUUCGUAGUUGAACCUUGGGCCUAGCCGGCCGGUCCGCCUCACCGCGUGCACUGGCUCGGCUGGGUCUUUCCUUCUGGAGAACCGCAUGCCCUUCACUGGGUGUGCCGGGGAACCAGG